rnacentral:rRNA from 1 species
GAUGAACGCUAGCUACAGGCUUAACACAUGCAAGUCGAGGGGCAGCAUGAUCUUAGCUUGCUAAGGUUGAUGGCGACCGGCGCACGGGUGAGUAACGCGUAUCCAACCUGCCCCACAGUAGGGAACAGCCCGGCGAAAGUCGGAUUAAUGCCCUAUGCGCUCCAUUGCAGGCAUCUAACGUGGAGCAAAGAUUUAUCGCUGUGGGAUGGGGAUGCGUCUGAUUAGGCAGCAGGCGGGGUAACGGCCCACCUGGCCCACGAUCAGUAGGGGUUCUGAGAGGAAGGUCCCCCACAUUGGAACUGAGACACGGUCCAAACUCC